rnacentral:rRNA from 1 species
AACGAACGCUGGCGGCAUGCCUAACACAUGCAAGUCGAACGAGACCUUCGGGUCUAGUGGCGCACGGGUGCGUAACGCGUGGGAAUCUGCCCUUGGGUCCGGAAUAACUCAGAGAAAUUUAGAGCUAAUACCGGAUGAUGACGUAAGUCCAAAGAUUUAUCGCCCAGGGAUGAGCCCGCGUAGGAUUAGCUAGUUGGUGAGGUAAAGGCUCACCAAGGCGACGAUCCUUAGCUGGUCUGAGAGGAUGAUCAGCCACACUGGGACUGAGACACGGCCCAGACUCCUACGGGAGGCAGCAGUGGGGAAUAUUGGACAAUGGGCGAAAGCCUGAUCCAGCAAUGCCGCGUGAGUGAUGAAGGCCUUAGGGUUGUAAAGCUCUUUUACCCGGGAUGAUAAUGACAGUACC